GAAAUGCGAUAAGUAAUGUGAAUUGCAGAAUUCAGCGAACCAUCGAAUCUUUGAACGCACAUUGCGCCCCCUGGCACUCCGGGGGGCAUGCCUGUCCGAGCGUCACAAACACCCCCUCAAGCCCCGCUUGGUCUUGGGCCGCGCCGGCGACGGCGGGCCUUGAACGCAGUGGCGACGCCGCGGGACCCCGAGCGCAGUACUGCACCUCGCUCCGGGCGCCCGCCGCGCGGCGACCCACGAAGCCCCCAGCACCGUUUGACCUCGGAUCAGGUAGGAAUACCCGCUGAACUUAA
rnacentral:misc_RNA from 1 species